rnacentral:rRNA from 1 species
AGCAGCCGCGGUAAUUCCAGCUCCAAUAGCGUAUAUUAAAGUUGUUGCAGUUAAAAAGCUUGUAGUUGAAUUUCGGGGUCAGUAGAUUGGUCGUGCCACAGGUAUGUACUGGUCUUACUGGCUCCUCCUUCCUGAUGAACUGUAAUGCCAUUAAUUUGGUGUUGCGGGGAGACUGGACUGUUACUUUGAAAAAAUUAGAGUGUUUAAAGCAAGCUAACGCUUGAAUACAUUAGCAUGGAAUAAUGAAAUAGGACGAUCGAUCCUAUUUUGUUGGUUUCUAGGAUUGACGUAAUGAUUAAUAGGGAUAGUUGGGGGCAUUAGUAUUCAAUUGUCAGAGGUGAAACUCUUGGAUUUAUUGAAGACUAACUACUGCGAAAGCAUUUGCCAAGGAUGCUUUCAUUAAUCAAGAACGAAAGUUAGGGGAUCGAAGACGAUCAGAUACCGUCGUAGUCUUAACCAUAAACUAUGCCGACUAGGAAUCAGACGAUGUUAAUUUUUUAAUGUACUCGUUUGG